GACGAACGCUGGCGGCGUGCCUAAUACAUGCAAGUCGAACGCAGUGGGGACGGGUGAGUAACACGUGGGUAACCUCCCAUCAGAGGGGAUAACACUUGGCAACAGGUGCUAAACCCAUACUGAUGGAUGAACCCGCGGUGCAUUAGCUAGUUGGUGAGGUAGCGGCGCACCAAGGCCACGAUGAAUAGCCGACCUGAGAGGGUGACCGGCCACACUGGGACUGAGACACGGCCCAGACUCCUACGGGAGGCAGCAGUAGGGAAUCUUCGGCAAUGGACGAAAGUCUGACCGAGCAACGCCGCGUGAGUGAAGAAGGUUUUCGGAUCGUAAAACGCUGUGGUUAGAGAAGCGGUAGCUAAACAGAAAGCCACGGCUAACUACGUGCCAGCAGCCGCGGUAAUAC
rnacentral:rRNA from 1 species